ACUUAAAUUGAAGAGUUUGAUCAUGGCUCAGAUUGAACGCUGGCGGCAGGCCUAACACAUGCAAGUCGAGCGGUAGCACAGAGAGCUUGCUCUCGGGUGACGAGCGGCGGACGGGUGAGUAAUGUCUGGGAAACUGCCUGAUGGAGGGGGAUAACUACUGGAAACGGUAGCUAAUACCGCAUAAUGUCGCAAGACCAAAGUGGGGGACCUUCGGGCCUCAUGCCAUCAGAUGUGCCCAGAUGGGAUUAGCUAGUAGGUGGGGUAACGGCUCACCUAGGCGACGAUCCCUAGCUGGUCUGAGAGGAUGACCAGCCACACUGGAACUGAGACACGGUCCAGACUCCUACGGGAGGCAGCAGUGGGGAAUAUUGCACAAUGGGCGCAAGCCUGAUGCAGCCAUGCCGCGUGUGUGAAGAAGGCCUUCGGGUUGUAAAGCACUUUCAGCGGGGAGGAAGGCGGUGAGGUUAAUAACCUCAUCGAUUGACGUUACCCGCAGAAGAAGCACCGGCUAACUCCGUGCCAGCAGCCGCGGUAAUACGGAGGGUGCAAGCGUUAAUCGGAAUUACUGGGCGUAAAGCGCACGCAGGCGGUCUGUCAAGUCGGAUGUGAAAUCCCCGGGCUCAACCUGGGAACUGCAUUCGAAACUGGCAGGCUAGAGUCUUGUAGAGGGGGGUAGAAUUCCAGGUGUAGCGGUGAAAUGCGUAGAGAUCUGGAGGAAUACCGGUGGCGAAGGCGGCCCCCUGGACAAAGACUGACGCUCAGGUGCGAAAGCGUGGGGAGCAAACAGGAUUAGAUACCCUGGUAGUCCACGCCGUAAACGAUGUCGAUUUGGAGGUUGUGCCCUUGAGGCGUGGCUUCCGGAGCUAACGCGUUAAAUCGACCGCCUGGGGAGUACGGCCGCAAGGUUAAAACUCAAAUGAAUUGACGGGGGCCCGCACAAGCGGUGGAGCAUGUGGUUUAAUUCGAUGCAACGCGAAGAACCUUACCUGGUCUUGACAUCCACAGAACUUUCCAGAGAUGGAUUGGUGCCUUCGGGAACUGUGAGACAGGUGCUGCAUGGCUGUCGUCAGCUCGUGUUGUGAAAUGUUGGGUUAAGUCCCGCAACGAGCGCAACCCUUAUCCUUUGUUGCCAGCGGUCCGGCCGGGAACUCAAAGGAGACUGCCAGUGAUAAACUGGAGGAAGGUGGGGAUGACGUCAAGUCAUCAUGGCCCUUACGACCAGGGCUACACACGUGCUACAAUGGCAUAUACAAAGAGAAGCGACCUCGCGAGAGCAAGCGGACCUCAUAAAGUAUGUCGUAGUCCGGAUUGGAGUCUGCAACUCGACUCCAUGAAGUCGGAAUCGCUAGUAAUCGUAGAUCAGAAUGCUACGGUGAAUACGUUCCCGGGCCUUGUACACACCGCCCGUCACACCAUGGGAGUGGGUUGCAAAAGAAGUAGGUAGCUUAACCUUCGGGAGGGCGCUUACCACUUUGUGAUUCAUGACUGGGGUGAAGUCGUAACAAGGUAACCGUAGGGGAACCUGCGGUUGGAUCACCUCCUUACCUUAAAGAA
rnacentral:rRNA from 8 species